UACAGAGGUCCCGAGCGUUGUUCGGAUUCACUGGGCGUAAAGGGUGCGUAGGCGGUUCUGAAAGUCUGAUGUGAAAUCUCCAGGCCCAACCUGGAAACGGCAUUAGAAACUACAGGGCUAGAGGCUUGGAGGGGGAACUGGAAUGCUCGGUGUAGCAGUGAAAUGCGUAGAGAUCGAGCGGAACACCAGUGGCGAAGGCGAGUUCCUGGACAAGUCCUGACGCUGAGGCACGAAAGCCAGGGGAGCAAACGGG
rnacentral:rRNA from 1 species